AGCGAUGAAGUGAAGGCGAAACGCUAGGCAGCAAAAGAAGAACGAAAUGUCGACCGUUAAAUUAACACCAGUCGCGUAUUCUCUCUCAUCAUCAACCUUCAUACGUCAGAUAAUCUCAAACCCCCAUUUUCAUCACAACAAUCGCACCAUUUUUACUCAUAAUUUCAAGCAUUCUACCAGAAGAUCUCUCACUUUAUCAAUGGCUUCUUCGGAUCCUCUUCAAAUUUGUGUCAAGGAAUCUAUCACCACUCCCAACAAGCUUGGCGAUUGUCCAUUUUGCCAAAGAGUGUUGUUAACUUUGGAAGAAAAGCAUCUCCCAUAUGAUAUGAAGCUGGUUGACUUAACUAACAAGCCAGAGUGGUUUACAAAAAUCAAUCCAGAGGGUAAAGUACCUGUGGUGAAAUUUGAUGAAAAAUGGGUUGCUGAUUCAGAUGUCAUUGCAAAUUCCCUAGAAGAGAAAUAUCCUAAUCCACCUUUGGCAACACCUCCCGAGAAGAGUACAGUUGGUUCAAAGAUUUUUCCUGCGUUUGUUGGCUUUCUUAAAAGCAAGGACCCCAGCGAUGGAAAAGAGCAGGAAUUACUUAAUGAGCUCAGUUCCUUCAAUGAUUACCUGAAAGAAAAUGGGCCUUUUAUUAAUGGGGAGAAGAUCUCUGCAGCGGACCUAUCUCUCGGACCAAAGCUUUACCAUAUGGAGAUUGCAUUGGGAAAUUACAAGAAUUGGUCUGUUCCAGAGUCACUUCCCUAUGUGAAGUCUUACAUGAAGAAUAUAUUUUCCAGGGAUUCAUUUGUGAAAACAAUUGCAUCACCAGCGGAUGUCAUUGCUGGCUGGGCAAAGCACAUAAGCUGAACUGCUGAAGCUGUCCAAGAUUUACGGUCACUGGUUUCUUGUGCAGAAGAUUAGCCUUGCUGUAGUGUCUCAGCGGUGCAGGUGAGCUUUGGCAAAUGCAAAUAUCCUGCCCGCAGAUUCAGUGUACCCUUGGGCUCAAUGGGUACAAAUUUGUAGGUACACUUGUAAGGUGAUCAUCUAAAUAAUGUUCACCAUAACAUUACAAUGGUCACAUCACUCACAUGGUGGCAUGGCGCUAUCACAACCAUUUGACCAUUUUAAUUGGUUAUAAACUUUUGGUUUGACCUUAUAUUAUACAUGCAUGGUUUGUUAGUAUUUUUUUACAAAA